GAUGAACGCUGGCGGCGUGCCUAAUACAUGCAAGUCGAGCGAACGGACGAGAAGCUUGCUUCUCUGAUGUUAGCGGCGGACGGGUGAGUAACACGUGGAUAACCUACCUAUAAGACUGGGAUAACUUCGGGAAACCGGAGCUAAUACCGGAUAAUAUUUUGAACCGCAUGGUUCAAAAGUGAAAGACGGUCUUGCUGUCACUUAUAGAUGGAUCCGCGCUGCAUUAGCUAGUUGGUAAGGUAACGGCUUACCAAGGCAACGAUGCAUAGCCGACCUGAGAGAGUGAUCGGCCACACUGGAACUGAGACGCGGUCCAGACUCCUGAGGGAGGCAGCAGUAGGGAAUCUUCCGCAAUGGGCGAAAGCAUGACGGAGCAACGGCGCGUGAGUGAUGAAGGUCUUCGGAUCGUAAAACUCUGUUAUUAGGGAAGAACAUAUGUGUAAGUAACUGUGCACAUCUUGACGGUACCUAAUCAGAAAGCCACGGCUAACUACGUG
rnacentral:rRNA from 1 species